rnacentral:rRNA from 1 species
UACGAAGGGUGCAAGCGUUACUCGGAAUUACUGGGCGUAAAGCGUGCGUAGGCGGUUCGUUAAGUCUGUCGUGAAAGCCCUGGGCUCAACCUGGGAAUUGCGAUGGAUACUGGCGAGCUAGAGUACGGUAGAGGAUGGUGGAAUUCCCGGUGUAGCGGUGAAAUGCGUAGAGAUCGGGAGGAACACCCGUGGCGAAGGCGGCCAUCUGGAUCAACACUGACGCUGAGGCACGAAAGCGUGGGGAGCAAACAGG